rnacentral:rRNA from 1 species
UACGUAGGGUGCGAGCGUUAAUCGGAAUUACUGGGCGUAAAGCGUGCGCAGGCGGUUCGUCGUGUCCGAUGUGAAAGCCCCGGGCUCAACCUGGGAAUGGCAUUGGAAACUGGCGGACUCGAGUGUGGCAGAGGGGGGUGGAAUUCCGCGUGUAGCAGUGAAAUGCGUAGAGAUGCGGAGGAACACCGAUGGCGAAGGCAGCCCCCGGGGCUAACACUGACGCUCAGGCACGAAAGCGUGGGGAGCAAACAGG